UCGUGGGAUGUGCUGAGCUGGGAGGGACCCCUCAGAACCUUCGAGUCCAGCUCCUGAUUUGUAAAAACUAAUGGAAUGGGGAUCAAACUAUUGGGCUCCAAAAGGUCUUCUACCCCUACUCUACAAAAUGCAGGCCUGUGUUCCCCACGGAGGGAAGGCUGGCAGUUAUCAAUGGGAACAACAAAGAAAAGCUCAGAGCUUUUAUUUAUUCAUGGUCACCACAUAAAACUAACCCUCUGUUCAUGACUGUGUAGAACUGUCAUCAAGUCCAAACUUUCUGGUGUAAACAUCAGUAUAUUUGGAUGCAAUAUUUGCAUGCUGUGCUUCUGUGGCACCAAGUGGAUUUAAAAGGUUGUAACACUUUAUGAGAUCACCUUUACGCUUGUGGGUUAUAUUUUUUAAAAAAAUAGUGAAAAGCCAUUUAUUACAGAAGACAACAAUGAAAGAACUCCUAUUUAACAAAAUAUAAAGUAGGACAUCAAUCAGGGCAAAUGUACAAUUGUAAAUAAAAAUCAUUACAACUCAUUCAACUGUUUGCACACUCAAAGGAUAUGUUUGAAAAUUCUGCCUCAGAAAUAAAUAAAUAAAAUUUCAGAGGCAGUUUGUUACAACUGUUUCAAAGUUUCCAAUAAAAUUCACCACUCUUGAAAUGCAAAGUCUGAAAAAUGAAACAAGAGUGCCGUUGGAAUUCUGGUUGCCAGCUCUGAUCUCUACAGGAGUUAUUCCAGAGUGUAACAAAAGCAGCAACAGAAAUAACCUUUGGCAUUAGAGCACCGUCCUGCAUUAAUUGGUCCUGCCAACAGAGCUUUGCUUUUGAACCCCUCUGAUAAUGAAACCUUGCCAGAACUGUGAGAUUAUAAUGUUGAUUUUCUUAAGAAGUUGUGAGUCCUUAACCCAGCAUCUCCAGGUGAGCCCCUGCAAUAGGAGAGUCCUGUUCCUGCCGUCAGUGGAGAGGAGGGAUCAGGAAAAAAAGUCCAAACGUGUGUUCAAAUCAAAAGGGGAAAAAAGGCUUUUUUCCUCUUUAGACGACAGAUACAGCUUUACUUUAUGGCAAUUGGACAGACAGAGUUGCUUCUGUUCAGCACAGCCCUGCUCUUCUCAGGAGCCCACGAGACACGAGCAUGGACUGUCCUCCUGGGCCCCUCCUGCCGUGCCUGUGUCCCAGUGCACGUGCUGUGGGCAGCAACCAGGGAGCUGGAGACACGAGUGUGCAGCCAGAAGGACAGCCUGGCCAGGGGUGCUGCAGUGCCCAAUCCAAGGCUCCCGGGGUGCUGUGGUGGUGUUGAGUGGGAAAACCCUCCAGGCGGUGCUGGACAAGAUCCCCCGGCAGCAAAGGCAGCUGCUCCAUCUCCAGGGCACUCUCUCAAUCCGGGGUUGCAGGAGCAGGAUAAGGAAUAUCCCUGCACCUUGUUCCUUGUGGCAAGAGGCUCCAUCCCUGUAGGAGCCUCCGUGAGCCCUGCUGGCUGGAGGCCGGAGGAAUCCCGGGGGACAGGUCUCCCUUGUGCCCUGGAGCCGUGGGGAUCAGCAGACCCCGCUCAUCCCUGAGGAUGCUCAUGGCCAGGAGGAGACUGAGAGCAACAAGCCUGUUCCAGUGAGGCAUUCCCAGGAUAGAGUGGCACAGCAGCAAGUGUUGGUGCCCAAUCCAUGGCUCCCAGGAUGCUGCCAUAUGGGAAGACCUUCCACGCGGUGCUGGACAAGAUGCUGCAGUGGCAAAGAGAAGUGUUCCCAUCUCCAGGCUCUCUCCUGAUCCAGCUGUGGAGGAGCAGGAUAAGGAAUAUCUCCACACCUCCAUUACUCCUGGCAAGAUCCUCCAUCCUUCCCAGAGCCUCCAUGGAUAAGAGUCCCUGCUCCCGAGGAGCAGUGGGUAUCUGCAGACCCCGCUAAUCCAGUCCCAGUGGGAGCCCAGCCCAUUCCAUUCCUGGAUUCCCAGGGGCAGGUGGCACAGCAGCAAAUGUCCCAGAGCCACCAGUGCCAAAUCCACAGCUCCCAGGAUGCUUCCAUAUGGGAAAACCCUCCAGACAUUGCUGGACAAGAUCCUCCAGUGGCAAAGGCAGGUGUUCCCAACUUCACGGCACUCUCUUGAUCCGGCUGUGGAGGAGCAGGAUAAGGAAACCUCAGGAACUCAGUUACUUCUGGCAAGAGCCUCCAGGCCUCCCAGGGUCUCCGUAAGAAUCUGCAGAAUCCACAUGGCAGAGCCCCCAUGGACAGGUCCCCCAGGUCCCUUGGAGCCGAGGGGAUCAGCAGACCCUGCCAAUCCCUGAGGAUGCAGAGGGCUGGGAAAAGCCUGGAAGGAACAAGCCCGUUCCAGUAAAGUGUUCCCAGGAGCAAGUGGCACAGCACUAAGUGUUGGUGCCCAAUCCAUGGACUCCCAGGAUGCUUCCAUGUGGGAAAACCCUCCAGACAUUGCUGGACAAGAUCCUCCAGUGUCCAAGGUGGCUUUUCCCAUUUCCAGCUGUGGAAGGAGCGGGAUAAGGAAAAUCUCUGCACCUCUGUUGGUUCAGGCAGGAGCCUCCAUCCCUCCCAGAGCCUCCCUGAGCCCUGCCAGGCUUCAGACGGAUCAGCCCCCAUGGAUGGCACUCCCUGCUCCCCUGGAGCCGCGGGAAUCAGCAGAGCCCGUUCAUCCCUGAGGGUGCCCAUGGCCAGGAACAGCCUGGGGGUAACGAGCCCAUUCCAGGCUCCCAGCUGAGGCAUUCCCAGGAGCAAGUGGCACAGCAGAAAACUUCCUGGGGGUGCCAGUGCCCAGUCCACGGCUCCCAGGAUGCUGCCAUGUGGGGAGACCCUACAAACAGUGAUGGACAAGAUCCCCAAGCAACCAAGGCAGCUGUUCCCAUCCCCAGGGGCUGUCUCGACCCAGCUGUGGAGGAGCAGGAUGAGGAAUAUCUCCACCCCUCAGUUACUUCUGGGAAGAGCUUCCAUCCCUCCCAGAGCCUCCUGAGACCUGCUGGACUCCAGAUGGAUGAGCCCCCUGGACUUUUUGGUGGGAGAAAUAGAACAUUGCUCACAACAUUCCACUAUGACCAAAUAAGGAACAACAGAAUCUGGAAGAAAUCCUGGAGGAUUUAUUGGAUCAGGGAUGUACCUGAAGCAACCAGGAUGUCAGCUGAGCUCUGGGGACCCAGGGAAGAUCAAACCCAAAUGUUCCAGCCUUUGUGGUGAAAACCAGUGACACUGUGCCUGCUCAGAACUGAGGGCAACAAGGGAACACCUCAACUUUGGGGGGCACCAGACACAGAAAACCCCUCCAGAGACCCCCAAAGAAGACCCCAAAUGACCAAAUGGGUACUUGCAAUAGGGGGGUGAGUGUGUAAAGCAAAGUAAUGGGCAUGUGUUGAGUAAGGGGGAAUAUCCAGUGCCUGUGGAAUCAGUGUGUGAUCCAAAACCCUGUGUGUGUCCCUGGGCAGGCUGGAUGAGAGGAACUCUCCUCCAGGCCCCCAGCAGGCUGCACUAAAGAAUUCCUGCUUCUUCCCCCCAACCAACUGGGCUGAAGGGCUUGGUUUCUGCUGCUUUUGGGCAUCACUGCUGGCCCCCAGAUGGGCCCCUGUGCCUGAUCUCCCGUGGAUCCCAGGGAUCUCUGGAUCUUCACAAUGGCACCAGGACUUUCCUGGAGAAGAGCACAGAUCCCUGGACCGGUCUGGGAUGUGGGGAAAGUCCCAUUGGAUAAUAAGGCAUUCCUUUGGGAAUGCUGCCCGUGUAAGAUGUGUGGAUCUUCCAAUGCUUUGGGGGGUUAUUUGGUGUUCCCCAAUUUGGUCUCUGGCUUUGUUUUAUCCACUGAUCACUGGUUUGUGUUUGUCUUUGUUUCUGCACUGUAACAUCUGCACAAGUGGGUUCUGGGUCCAAAACUGACCCCAUUUGUACCAGCAGUGAGUCAGCAGUGUGGGGAGUGUGAGAGAAACAAUCCAAACCCUGCCAGUGGGGUGGGAAUAGGGGAUGGAAAUUGUGGAAAUGUUCCAGGUGAAUGUUGGCAGAUGGAUUGCACUGAACUGCCCAGAGAAGGGGGGUAUAAAUAUCUCCUGGUCUCGGGGGUACCUUCUCUGGGUGGCCAGAUGUUUUUCCUUGUGGCACCAACCAGGCUAGGGAAGGGAGUGGAAUCCUGUUGAAUCCAGGAAUCCCUGGAUUUGGGGUACCUUUGGGAAGGUCACCGGACAGAGGUUCCCACUGGACUGCAGAAACAAAAUGCUUCAGUCUUGUUUUGCUCUUCUGAUGCAAGUUAAAACACUCUUGACAUGGGGGGAAAAUUUACAUCUCAUUUUAGUACCAAAUGUGACCCCAGAGUUGCCUACAAGUGCAUGGAUAAAGUGAGCAAGAAUAUCUGCUGAAUGUGUAAAUGUGUGUGGAAUCAAAAGCCCUGUCUGUCUGUCCCUGAAGUGGUGAGGCCUGAAUUACAGGCCCUGGGCCCAAACUGACCUCUCCAUGACCCUUCCAAGCUGAUGUUCUGUUUAUCCGUGUACCACUCAUCAGCUGAAGCUGUGUCUGUCUGUGAGUAAAAGAUGGAGUGUGAUAAGGCUGCAGCUUAUCAACAAAAUGUGUUAAAAUCUGCUCAUCAACAAAAUGUGUUAAAAGCUUUUUAGUGAGCCAUGUUAGUAUCUGCUCAGUACUGAACACUCUUUGUACCUGUUCAUUGGUGAAAUCUGUGUGAUUGUCAGCAAGGUCUGAUCUUUGUGUGUGUAGAUCCUGGUCAAGGCCCUGGAAGUGAUACCUGGCCUUGUCUGGCAGCAGAUGGGGCAGGUUGUGACUCCCUUGGCUUGUGAGAAAUAGAACAUUGCUCACAGCCUUUCACAAGGGGCAAAUAAAGAACAAUAUUAUCUUGGAGAAGUCCUGGAGGAUUGGAUCAGGGAUGUACCUGAAGCAACCAGGAUGUCAGCUGAGCUGUGGGGACCCAGAGAGGAUCAAACCCAGAUGUUCCAGCCUUUGUGAUAAAAAACACUGACACUGUGCCUGCUCAGAACUGAGGGCAGCAAGGGGACACCUCAACUUUGGGGUCAACAGACACAGAAAACCCCACCAGAGACCCCCAAAGAAGACCCCAAAUGACCAAAUAAGGACUGGGGAUAGAGGGUGUGAGUGUGUAAAGCAAAGUACAGUAUUUGUGUGAAGGGAGAAUAUCUAAUGAGUGUGUAAAUUGUGUGUAAUAUAAAGCCCUGUCUGUCUGCCACUGAAGUGCUGAGGCUGAACAGGCCCUGAGCAAAGUUGGCCUCUAGAGAUCCAACCUGAUGUUCUAUUUAUCCCUCAUCAGCUCAAACUAUGUGUGUUUGUGAGUAAAAGAUGUAGUGUGAGAAGACUACACUGUGUGUCUGCUCAUCAACAAAAUGUCAUUAGUAAGAUGUAUUAAUAUCUGCUCAUUAGUG